rnacentral:rRNA from 1 species
AGCAACCUACCCUUGACUCUGGGAUAACAGCGAGGAAACAGCUGCUACAUACCGGAUACCACCCCGGCAGACAUCAUGCUGGGCGUGGAAAGCUCCAGACCGUCAAGGAUGGGCUCGCGGCCUAUCAGCUUGUUGGUGAUUGCUCCGCUCACCAAGGCGACGACGGGUAGCCGGCCUGAGAGGGCUACCGGCCACACUGGGACUGAGAUACGGCCCAGACUCCUACGGGAGGCAGCAGUGGGGAAUAUUGCACAAUGGGCGAAAGCCUGAUGCAGCAACACCGCGUGCGGGAUGUCGGCCUUCGGGUUGUAAACCGCUUUCAGCAGGGUCGAAGGGUUUCUGACGGUACCUGCAGAAGAAGCACCGGCUAACUACGUGCCAGCAGCCGCGGUGAUACGUAGGGUGCGAGCGUUGUCCGGAAUUAUUGGGCGUAAAGAGCUUGUAGGCGGUUCGUUGCGUCGGAAGUGAAAACUCAGGGCUUAACCCUGAGCCUGCUUUCGAUACGGGCGGACUUGAGGGAUAAAGGGNGNACGGCAGUGCCUGGUGGAGCUGGUGGAAUGCGCAGAUAUCAGGAGGAACACCAGUGGCGAAGGCGGUUCUCUGGACAUUUCCUGACGCUGAGAAGCGAAAGCGUGGGGAGCAAACAGGCUUAGAUACCCUGGUAGUCCUCGCCGUAAGCGNNNNNNNNNNNNNNNNNNNNNNNNNCCACGGAUUCCGUGCAGAAGCUAACGCAUUAAGUGCCCCGCCUGGGGAGUACGGCCGCAAGGCUAAAACUCAAAGGAAUUGACGGGGGCCCGCACAAGCGGCGGAGCAUGCGGAUUAAUUCGAUGCAACGCGAAGAACCUUACCUGGGUUUGACAUAUACCGGAAACAUCUAGAGAUAGGUGCCCCGCAAGGUCGGUAUACAGGUGGUGCAUGGCUGUCGUCAGCUCGUGUCGUGAGAUGUUGGGUUAAGUCCCGCAACGAGCGCAACCCUCGUUCUAUGUUGCCAGCGGUUCGGCCAAAAACUCAUAGNGAGCGGCCGGGGUCAACUCGGAGGAAGGUGGGGAUGACGUCAAGUCAUCAUGCCCCUUAUGUCCAGGGCUUCACGCAUGCUACAAUGGCUGGUACAAAGGGCUGCAAUACCGCAAGGUGGAGCGAAUCCCAUAAAGCCAGUCGCUGUACGGAUUGGGGUCAGCAACUCGACCCCAUGAAGUCGGAGUCGCUAG